GUCAACUGUUUAUCAGCUGGGCUUCUGAAACCUGUUUAAUGGCUUCUGUGAUGCAGUUUCUUCCUGUUCCGGAUUGUUUGAGCUCCAUAUAUAGGAGGUACCAUCAUCAUUUCAGAGACAUCAGUAUAAUAAGCCCAACGGGAGAAUGAUAUGGCAAUUUCUAAAUUUCCUAGAAGGAUCGCUCAGGAGGAUGGGCUUGAGCAGGCUGCCUUCCAUGUCACACCACCACUGGGCACAUUUUGUUUUUUGGCAACUGCCCCAACAGGAUUUUUUGUUCAUUCUGAAAAUCACAUCGCCAGAUCCAACACCUUUUUAUCCCAAUCACCAGUACAAGCCACCCGUAUCAGUGUACACUGUGGCUGACCGAUCCAUAGUGAUGCUUUGAGGUAGUCGUACAGUGUCCAGAAGGCAAAAGGACAAGUAUGCACUGCCCUACUUACCUACUUUCCACACUGCUGCACAGGAAAAUCUGACAGAGGACAAUAACAAACAUCUCACCAGCUCAUGCGUUCUUUUUUGAUCCUAAUUCCGAGAGACUCACCAAAGACAUGAAGAGAAAACAAACAAUACUUUUCUUGGAAAUAUUGUAAUUGCUGGUACAUUUGUUGUUCUGGCAUAAAGUAGAAAUUGUCAGGUAAACAUUGCUUCCUUUUGGAUCAAAAAGAAAUUUAACCAAAUAAAUGCAAGAGGUAUGAGGGAAGAUAAUGGGAAAUAAAUGAGAUUUGAGAAAUCAGUGGAGGUUCAAGUGGUUUUUUUUUUCUUUUGUAGUUGAUAAUACUCUGUUUUAAAUCAGUGAGUUUUACUUAUAUAUGCUUGUCCUUUUUUUUUUCUAGUUACCAGAACAAUACUCAGUGAACUUAUGAAUAUAUGGUAAAUAUUAAACACAUCCCACUUGGAUGAGAAGAUAUGUGAGUCGAUGAGUAUAGCUAAGUCUAAAGUUAGAUGUGUUCCAUAAACAUAGUGUUUAUGGAGUUGGUGCAUAUUCACUUCUCAGUAAG
rnacentral:lncRNA from 10 species